rnacentral:tRNA from 1 species
GCGGCGUGGAGCAGUGGUAGCUCGUCUGGCCCAUACCCAGAAGGUCGUUGGUUCAAAUCCAACCGUCCGCA